rnacentral:rRNA from 1 species
AACAUUUCUAGCUUGCUAGAAGAUGACGAGCGGCGGACGGGUGAGUAAUACUUGGGGAUCUGCCUGAUGGCGGGGGACAACCACUGGAAACGGUGGCUAAUACCGCAUAAUACCUACGGGUCAAAGUGUGGGACCUUCGGGCCACACGCCAUCAGAUGAACCCAAGCGAGAUUAGCUAGUUGGUGAGGUAAUGGCUCACCAAGGCGACGAUCUCUAGCUGUUCUGAGAGGAUGAUCAGCCACACUGGGACUGAGACACGGCCCAGACUCCUACGGGAGGCAGCAGUGGGGAAUAUUGGACAAUGGGCGCAAGCCUGAUCCAGCCAUGCCGCGUGUGUGAAGAAGGCCUUCGGGUUGUAAAGCACUUUCAGUGGUGAGGAAGGCGUUGUAGUUAAUAGCUGCAACGAUUGACGUUAGCCACAGAAGAAGCACCGGCUAACUCCGUGCCAGCAGCCGCGGUAAUACGGAGGGUGCGAGCGUUAAUCGGAAUUACUGGGCGUAAAGCGCACGUAGGCGGCUUGUUAAGCAAGAUGUGAAAGCCCAGGGCUCAACCUUGGAAUUGCAUUUUGAACUGGCAAGCUAGAGUUUUGAAGAGGGUGGUAGAAUUUCCAGUGUAGCGGUGAAAUGCGUAGAUAUUGGAAGGAAUACCAGUGGCGAAGGCGGCCACCUGGUCAAAAACUGACGCUGAGGAGCGAAAGCGUGGGGAGCA